rnacentral:RNase_P_RNA from 1 species
GCCAGUGGAAGCUCAUCAGUGAGACCACACAUUGUCACUCAUCACUCCACGGCCCCUGAGAAGGUCUGAGACUGGAACCUCUGGCAGCCCUAACAGGGCUCUCCACGAGAGAGGAGGUGAGUUCCCAGAGAGUAGGGCUCCCCACGCAUGGGAUGGCUGGGCAGGAGUAACCCCUAAUGGACAGAUGCCUCCCUCACUGGAACUUGGAACAAAAUGUCUCACAAACAAACAAACAAACAAACAAACAAACAAACACAAGAAGAAAAUAAAUAAUGCUGGACUUUAAACAUUGGACAUACAAUAAAUGAACUAUAGAUCAACAAUGGUGAAAGGAAUUUUUAAAAAUUUUUAUUUGUUAUUUUAUUUAUUUACAUGUCAAAUGUUAUCCCCCUCCCCCAAUUUCCCCUCUGAAAAUACCCUAUACCACCCUCUUCCCCCUACU